rnacentral:tRNA from 1 species
GCUCCCAUAGUCUAGUGGUUAGGACACCGCUCUUUCACGGCGGAGGCAGGGGUUCAAUUCCCCUUGGGAGUGCCA